rnacentral:rRNA from 1 species
CUUGCUUCUCUUGAGAGCGGCGGACGGGUGAGUAAUGCCUAGGAAUCUGCCUGGUAGUGGGGGAUAACGUUCGGAAACGGACGCUAAUACCGCAUACGUCCUACGGGAGAAAGCAGGGGACCUUCGGGCCUUGCGCUAUCAGAUGAGCCUAGGUCGGAUUGGCUAGUUGGUGGGGUAAUGGCUCACCAAGGCGACGAUCCGUAACUGGUCUGAGAGGAUGAUCAGUCACACUGGAACUGAGACACGGUCCAGACUCCUACGGGAGGCAGCAGUGGGGAAUAUUGGACAAUGGGCGAAAGCCUGAUCCAGCCAUGCCGCGUGUGUGAAGAAGGUCUUCGGAUUGUAAAGCACUUUAAGUUGGGAGGAAGGGUUGUAGAUUAAUACUCUGCAAUUUUGACGUUACCGACAGAAUAAGCACCGGCUAACUCUGUGCCAGCAGCCGCGGUAAUACAGAGGGUGCAAGCGUUAAUCGGAAUUACUGGGCGUAAAGCGCGCGUAGGUGGUUUGUUAAGUUGGAUGUGAAAUCCCCGGGCUCAACCUGGGAACUGCAUUCAAAACUGACUGACUAGAGUAUGGUAGAGGGUGGUGGAAUUUCCUGUGUAGCGGUGAAAUGCGUAGAUAUAGGAAGGAACACCAGUGGCGAAGCGACCACCUGGACUAAUACUGACACUGAGGUGCGAAAGCGUGGGGAGCAAACAGGAUUAGAUACCCUGGUAGUCCACGCCGUAAACGAUGUCAACUAGCCGUUGGAAGCCUUUGAGCUUUUAGUGGCGCAGCUAACGCAUUAAGUGACCGCCUGGGGAGUACGGCCGCAAAGGUUAAAACUCAAAUGAAUGACGG